rnacentral:lncRNA from 1 species
UUGUUUCAACUGUUUGGGUGGACUGCAUAACUUGAUCAAUAGAAGGAGAAAAUGGAAUAUCAGUUUGCAUAUUCUCUUUGUCAUGAACCAAAGAGUUUUUAUUCUUUGUUUGCACUCCUUGAGCGGAAAACAUGGUUGUGUCUAAUCUUGUACUCUUAGAAGGUCUUGACAUGCUUUGACUUGCAUAAUGAGCAUUAUGAUGAAAGGAUCGUUCCUCAUUUUCAGACUCUUCAAAGGAGCACAUAGAUCUAAGCUCUCGCCUUCGUCCUUUCCCUAGAGUACCUGAUGUAAGAAAUCAUAUUACUAAAAGUUUGAUAUUAAAGUAAAUUCAGUUAAAAAAAGAAUAGAAUUGAGAAGUUACAGCAUAUUACGCCGCAAGCUGUUUUCAUUAUUUUACUACAGAACAUUUUCAAGACCAACACUUGAAAUAGGAAAGCAUUGUUAUGGAAAAAGGUCAGUGAGUGUACCAAAUAGAUCCUACAACCUUUAACCUGAUGCAUAGCCUAUAACUAUCUUAAUAACUAGGACAACCACAAGAUAUCAUGUGCUCAACACCUUAGCAAAGCAAUAUAAUUACCAAGUACAAGAACUAUAAAAACCAUCUAUCAAUGAACAAUUUUGACAUAUCUUUGGUGUUGUCCACAUAGAUAGAUGAGAAGUGAACGAGACCAUUUUUCACUAUUCUGGUUCUGAUCCUCAACAUGCCAAUAGGAAGUAACUCCUAAAAUGAACUGAAAAACCAUUGGUCAACAUAUAUUAUAUCAUUCAUAGGAAGGUGGAUCAUUUGGCAUCCUAACAGUCAUGUACUUGGACAAAUUUUGGCCAGUCCAGAGUGAUGUAAAAGCAUGACGCAAACAACAGAAUACAGAAAAAGACAUACACCAAGCAGUCAUUAUCAUCAACUAAACAAUCUACAUUCACAACUAUACUAAAUGUCUCAAUCGAAAAAAACACAUACUUGUUUUCACUUUUUGGGUGGAUUGCAUAACUUGAUCAUCAGAAGGAGAAAACAGAAUAUUAGUUUUCACAUUCUCUUUGUCAUGAACCAAAGGGUUUUUAUUCAUUGUUCGCAAUCCUUGAGCAGCAAACAUGGUGCUCUUAGAAGGUCUUGACAUACUUUGACUGGCAUAAUGAGCAUUCUGAUGGAAGGAUCGCUCCUCAUUUUCAUACUCUUCAAGGGAGCAUAUAGAUCUAAGUUCUUGCCCUCGUCCCUUCCCUAGAGCAC